CAAUAGCGUAUAUUAAAGUUGUUGCAGUUCAAAAGCUCGUAGUUGGAUUUCGGGGUGGCCUGGCUGGUCCGCCGCAAGGUGAGUACUGGUCAGCCGCCCUUCCUCUCGAAAGCCCCGACUGCUCUUUACUGCAGUGGUCGGGUAGUUCGGGACGUUUACUUUGAAAAAAUUAGAGUGUUCAAGGCAGGCUAUCGCCUGAAUACAUUAGCAUGGAAUAAUGGAAGAGGACCUCGGUCCUAUUUUGUUGGUUUCUAGGGCCGAAGUAAUGAUUAAGAGGGACAGUUGGGGGCAUUCGUAUUUAAUUGUCAGAGGUGAAAUUCUUGGAUUUAUGAAAGACGAACUAGUGCGAAAGCAUUUGCCAAGGAUGUUUUCAUUAA
rnacentral:rRNA from 1 species